UACGUAGGUGGCAAGCGUUAUCCGGAAUUAUUGGGCGUAAAGAGCGCGCAGGUGGUUAAUUAAGUCUGAUGUGAAAGCCCACGGCUUAACCGUGGAGGGUCAUUGGAAACUGGUUGACUUGAGUGCAGAAGAGGGAAGUGGAAUUCCGUGUGUAGCGGUGAAAUGCGUAGAGAUAUGGAGGAACACCAGUGGCGAAGGCGGCUUCCUGGUCUGCAACUGACACUGAGGCGCGAAAGCGUGGGGAGCAAACAGG
rnacentral:rRNA from 1 species